rnacentral:tRNA from 1 species
GGAGUUGUGGCUCAAUAGUAGAACGCUUGCCUCGCACGCAUGAGGCACUGAGUUCAAACCUCAGCACCA